rnacentral:lncRNA from 1 species
AUGCAGCUAUUAAAAAUGAAAGAUGAAUCUAGGAACCACCAAAAAGGCAGCAAUCCUCAGCAGCAGAAAUGGGAAGAUGGGACUGAAUGCUGUGCAGAGAUGGAGAAGCGAAGUUUGCACAUAAAAAUGCAUCACCAAAGUCCUGCCGAGCACAUGACAAAUUACAUUCUCAAUAAUACUGCUUCAGAGUACUCCAUUCAAUACUUCAUUUCAAAACGGAUGUUUUCAAGUUCUGGAAAUAACCAGUCAGGCUUUUUUUUUUUUCUGAUGGGAGAACAGGGGAGAUACUGCCAACCUUUUCUGAAAGUGAUGCCUCCUAUAAUAAAAGAGUGAAGCAAAUCCAGUUACUCAACAACACCACACUGAACUUCUGGAACCAAAAUCCCAGCCAGAUGAAGGGUGCUCUCUGAUGUCCCGAAAUCAAUGCAGUGAGGAAGGACAAACCAAGCACAAUGUAAGAGACUGGAACAUGCAGCUACUUUGGCUGCAUCAGAGCACACUGGGAACCACAGCUACUUUCACUGCUUAAAACCACAGGUAUGUAUUUUGCUUCAUGAAAUACUUUCAUAAGUUUCACGACCCAUUUUUGAAUAAUUGUCUAAUGCCUCAUUAGAGGCCAACAUCAGCUACACAAAUCACAUGAAGGCUAAAGAACUUGUCCUUUGGGGUCCUGCUUGCAUAGGGCGCCCUUGAAAGGGCAGCAUUUCAUCAAAGAGGAGGAAGAACUUUUGAGUGAAAUGAUUUCACCAACUCCAUGCCGGACACGCAUGAAGGAAAGGUAACUGACUUCUGCCAAAGGCCUGCUCUGAGGGCUGGCUGAGGUAAAACAAGACUCAAAGAGAAGACGAGGAAAACAGGAAUAAUUGUGGGUUGUUACAGGGCUUUGGUAGGGACGUAUUUCCCUGGCUCCAUUUAAAACAAAACUUAUCUUGUUAACUUGUAAAAAAAAAAUGAUUAUCUACAAGAUUACAUAGGACUCCUUCCUCGCAACCAUUCCUCUCCUCGUUGUGGAGUUUCAACUUGAAGUGAAGACUCAGAGAAAUAUACGAAGCUCAGCAUACAGGGGAAGGUGGGGAAGGAAAGCAGGCUGCAAGGGCUGCCUUUAAUCAUCUGACAGCCAUUGCUGAAGCUAGCUGCCUGUGCUCAAGGUCUCCAGGAUAAGACAGAAGCCUAUUAAUUUCACUAGCAAUUGCAUACUGCUACCAGACUUUCUCCAUGAAUUAAAUGGAGACUGGUAGAAGCACCCGUAUAAUUCUGAAAUUAUUCUGUUUAGGAGUUUAAUAAAGGGCUUAUCCCAAAACACAGAACUGUGUCAACAAACUCACCAUAAAAAAAAAAAAAUCAAGUAUGUUUACACGACGUGGUUGGUUUGCUGUGACGUUAUCAAAACCUACUUACACAGCCGAGACCAAAAAAUAAAAGGUGGCAGUAACAAUGCUUGGACAGAAUUCUUUCGGUGAGGAAGGAUUUUAAGCUUUUACCAAUACUUUUUGCUUUCAGGUGACUUUAGCAGCUGGUGUCACAAGGAAGAGGCAGCUCUGCCCUGGUACAGGUAGCUGUCGCAGCGUAUCGGCAGUCCGAAGGGGACUGCCUGGAAGCGACCUUCCCAGGAGCGCAGCUAUCACCAAGCACACUGCGCUUGCAUGUGUCAGGAAAGUUUCAACAAAUUAAGCCAAGAUCAACAAGUCAAACAGGAUUCGGUCGCUACUUUGAUGUGAGAUUCUUUCCCAUUUUAUUACCCCCUUUAUGGACAGUUUUACAUUCCAUCCCAGUAGUAUUUCUGCUCAUCUACUUAUUAUUUCACAUGACUAAUUUCCAUACUACUAUGCUCAUAAGGGCCUAACGCGACUGAUUUUGCUUUGCCAACGUGCAAUUACUUGCUUGAAAAUACGUCUCCUGCUGGAGGUGGAGGCACGUGGUCAUUCCUGCCCUCCGACAGCCAGGACAGAUCGGCUGCUUAUUCUCCCCUGAGGAACGAGCAUUUGGCUGAACCAAAAUGUACAGCUCGAUGUGUCUUUUUCACUGAUGCCAUUACCAGCACCUUUACAACCAACAGCCACUCCUAAAUUUGCUAAAUUAUACACUUACCACUGAAAAAUGUAUUCCAGUGCAACUGCUCAAUUAGGUGUUAAUUUCAUAAACAACAAGCACAACUUUUGUACACUUGAAAAAUAAUUAAAGCUCUCUGAAAAUAAGCAUAUAGUGUACGCAGCAUAUAAACUCACUGCUGCUCCCUUCUUCUUUCUUCAAUAAUUAUUUUUGUGUUUUGUCUUAAAUUGGGUAGUAAACUCUGCAGAAAAAGCAGUGUCUUCAGCUGAGGCCUGAGCAGGACCACAAGGUGUUAAUAUAACAAAAAAAGCUUCUGGUGUAUUAUUAUUGUUACUGCCCCAGCAACCCAAAGGAG